rnacentral:sRNA from 1 species
UAAAGUAAAAAAUUUACAGCAAUAAUUCUACAGCAAGAAAUGUUACAGCUACAGCCAACAAAGCUACAGCAAAAAUUCUACAGUUACAGCCUAACCAAUCACCCACUAUAUCUUUGAGUAUAUAUUAAACUUAACCUUUACCA